ensembl:lncRNA
GACUCUUGCUCCAGUCGAUGGGGGUACAUACAACCCUGUCUGGAGGAGUGAAGUCAGCUGUUCCAUGACAGGACAGGACUCAACUGAGAUCCCAGUGAUGACUCCAUUGCCUUGGGUGUAGUAACGAAGACGUGGCCACUGCAGGGUUGUGGUCUGGUUUUUAAACAUAACAUGGCAAGUUAGUGAAACAUUAAAAUGCAAGAGAUCAUUAUAUUCAAGACUUUCUCUUCCCUGCUCCUUCUCCUAAAGGGGAAAUCAGACACACAGGAUUGUAGACUUCUGCCACCACUUGCCAUGGGUGGGUGCAGUUGGACACCAGCUUAAGGCAGAAAGGACAAAGCUGAGGAUGAGCUGAAAGUGCUUGCACCAGCCCCAUGGCUCCAUGCUCCUCCAGUGUGUUUUUGAGUAGCAUCAUGCUUCUGAGAAUAUGUUCCUUAGAGGACUUGGUGAAAAAGAAUAAGAGCAUGAUAAGCAAGACCAAAUAAAUAUUACAUAAACUUAUUUUCAUAAGUAAAUCUCAAGGUACUUUACAAUGGAAGGUCCAUCUUUUUUCCUUUAUGCAACACGAGAAACUGAGGCACAGAGAAAGUACAUAAAUAAAUAUAAAUUAUAAAUUCUUCAGUUUUUGUCUUGAACAGAAAUCAGAAUUUACAAUUCAUUGGUUAUUCUGAAAUAAAAAAUAAAAUAUAAAAUAUUGAAAGGGAGAAAAGUAAACUGGAACUUUGUUGUCAACAUUAGACAGGAAGCUAGAAAAUGUUGUCACUUUAACCCAGGGAAUGUCCUUCGUCAUUGUAUAUUACAGUGUUAAAAAGGUAUAAUCAGUAGUACAGAUUAAAAGUCAAAUAACAGUAAUUAUAAUGAUGAAAUAUAUCUUUUAUUGAAAUAUGUCAUAUUAAAAAGAAAUAAAAUGAACAGUGUACAUUAUUCUCAAUUGACAAUUUUGUUUAUACAAUCAAAUUUCUGCAAAAUACUCCAACUAUGAAAACAAAGUUUUUUUUUUUAAUGGAAAGGGGUUUAGUUUAUCUUAAGACUUGAUGUGGUGACAUUAUGUUGGCUGUGUUUUAUGCUGUGGAUUUACUGUCAUACCCAGUGACGUCAGCACAGACCACGUCAUUAAGUUAGGGGUUCACCACUUCAACCAAGUGUUUAGCUUUCUGGGUUGAAGGUUUGGAGAAAUUUAUUUGUGGGAUAAAUGGAGAUUUAGGCUGUUGAAGCAUAAGUGUUGUUUAGAAAAUAUGUGCUAUUUACAUUGUGCACAAAACUAUAUGAGACACAGAUAUAAGAAUGUAUUACUAUGUAUAUAUCUAGUAUAAACACACCAUGAUUAAAUAUCAUUUGUUCUGUAAUUGUCAAUUGAGAAAAUAAAUUGUAAGACAAAAGCAUUGGUAAUGAUUGAACACAGACAGUUUAAUCAAGCAGCAACUUUUGAAGAAGUAAUUUUGUCCUAAAAGUCAAAAGUAAGUAAAGCCAUAAUUGAACUUAAACUGCUGAAGUUCAAAUUAAAGCACAUAUUCACCAUCAAUGACUGUGCCUAAAGACACAGGCAGUGAUACAGAGGCAGAAGUGAGAAGCACAGCUGGUUCAAGCACAGCUGGCACCUCCCUGGGAAAGUGCCAAUAAUCCCUCUGACACAUGCAAGGCUCCCAGUGCUGGAGAAAACCAAGAAUACAGGGCUAAAAUUUGGCAGCUACUUAUCAGCAUGUGAUUUAGUGACAUAAGAUAGCUAAGUACAUAAUUACCUAUAUAUAUAUUUUUUAAUUCUCAAAAUACUGCUGGUGCACAGGAGUUCUCAAUGGGAAUCAGGAAGAAAUCUGGGAGACUUUCCAAGUGCAGGAUUGGAAGGCUUACAUAGUCACAAUUAUGAUUUUAGAAAAACAGACCACAAAUAUGUCACGCAGACUGGAGAGUGUGAUGUAUAGAUAAACACAUACACACUGCAUUGAUUGUAUUUUGUAACAAAAGGGAUGAAGACCAGCAUGUGUGUCUUUGACAGGAUAGCUCAAACAAAAAUCACAUGUACAGCAAACAUUCCCCAUAAUUCUUGAAAUUAGGCAAAAGUGUGUUAAAACUCCAAGUUGCACAAGGACUUAAAAUGCUUGUAUGCAGUUUGGGAAAUGAUUGAAGGAAAAUAGAAAGUGUCUGUGACAAGAAAGCAAAAAGACAGCUUUGAGAUGAUGGUAACAUAUUUUUAGAGCAUAAGUAAGUUCUCUUAAAAUCAGUUCUCUCUAUGCUUGUUCAUUACUCCUAGUCAUAUUACUAGAAAUUCCUUCAACGUACCUGGGAGCACAAAUUAACAUAAUAUUAGCAAUGAAUCUACUGACAUAUUUCAAGUACUUGGACUACUGUGAACUGAGAGAUUGAGUCAAUUUUAAGAGAUCACUUAAAAUCAACUUCAGUACAUUGUUUCUCCUGGUGUGAAGUAAUGUGGUUAUGUGGUCUCACUCAACAAAGUCGUGCCUGCGUGGAGCAGCUGGUGUGCCUGAUCUUCACGUGUGGUCUCCCCUUGAUUUUGCUGGAUUCAGGAUCAUCUGCAGAGAGCAUAUGUAUCUGGAUAAUGGAUUUGCCUCACUGAAAUUGCAGCCUUCAAGACAGACCAGCAGCUCAGCAGUGCACCUGGAUACUUUAGCAGGAAAUGAAGCUGUUUGGAAUACAAAGGAAAAAAAAAUCUGCAUGGGUCAUGUUUUUCGUAUGAAAAUAAUUAGAUAUUGUAGAUAUUCCUUCCCCUCUCUGGAUGAUUCUCACAGAUCAAUGAGUGGAGGCUGUCCUGAGUGGUCCAGGACAGUGGUCCAGGUUAAUAAGUACUUUGUUAAACCUAUUCACAUCUUUCCUUAAUCACAGAUCUUACAUAAACUCUGUUAUCAAUACUGGAUACUUCCAAAGGAGAGCUAAAACGAGAGAGAGUCUGUUUCAGAAAAGCACUGAAUGCAAACAUACAAAUCACACAGAUGGGCUUACUGCUGACAAACAGACAAAAAUCAAAAAUUAAAUGUCCACAUUCCUUAUCAAGAAAAGGAAACAAAUAAAAGAUCAGAAGAAGGGAUCAUUCAGUAUUUUUUCCCAAUAUUAUAUGAAUAGUCUAUUUGUAAGCCUGGAGAGUGAUGUGUUUAAACUGGAAGCAUAAAUGUAUAUUUCAAUACAAAAGCACAAGAACAUCUGUAUUUCUAACUGUUUAUGUCACAAUUUGCACAUAUUUUCUUAUGUCUUCCAACCAAAAUUUAUUCUACCUAUUUUUUUUAAUAAUAAGUUUCUAAGAAUAGGUAUAUUAAAUAAAAGAAAUUAUGUGUGGGAUGCAAAUUCUCAUUAUAAAAAUGUUUCUAUCCCUCUGGCUUUAGAGAUAACUUACCAAACAUAAAUUGCUUCAGUAAUAAGGUUUCAUGAAUACAUUACAUAUCCCUGCAUAAAUUUGUGGGGAGCAUUUUUUGUCUGAAGCAUAGAAAACAUUCCACAAUAAAUACAAAUGUUCAUACCUACUUUAAAAACAAAAUAUAUAUAUAUAUUUUACAUUUACGAAGCUUUUUUGCCUCAGAUAUGUUUUCAUGUUGUCCUUGUUUUCUACAGCUCCC